rnacentral:rRNA from 1 species
GAACCGUACGAACGUUAUUCGGGAAUCACUGGGGCUUAAAGGGUGCGUAGGCGGCCUGGUAAGUUGGGUGUGAAAGCCCUCGGCUCAACCGAGGGAAUUGCGCCCAAUACUGUCAGGCUUGAGGGAGAUAGAGGUGAGCGGAACUGAUGGUGGAGCGGUGAAAUGCGUUGAUAUUAUCAGGAACACCGGUUGCGAAGGCGGCUCACUGGGUCUCUUCUGACGCUGAGGCACGAAAGCUAGGGUAGCGAACGGGAUUAGAUACCCCGGUAGUCCUAGCUGUAAACGAUGAGCACUAGGUCGGAGGCCCUUCCACAGGCUUCCGGUCGUAGCGAAAGUGUUAAGUGCUCCGCCUGGGGAGUAUGGUCGCAAAGGCUGA